GACGAAGGUGGCGAGCGUUACUCGGAAUUACUAGGCGUAAAGCGUGGGUAGGCGGUCCGGCAAGUCUGUUGUGAAAGCUCCCGGCUCAACUGGGAGGGUGCGCCGAAAACUGCAAGGCUGGAGUGUGGGAGAGGUAGGCGGAAUUCCUGGUGUAGCGGUGAAAUGCGUAGAUAUCGGGAGGAACACCAGUGGCGAAAGCAGCUCUCUGGGACGGUACUGACGCUGAGACGCGAAAGCGUGGGGAGCGAACGGG
rnacentral:rRNA from 1 species